AUUGAACGCUGGCGGCAGGCUUAACACAUGCAAGUCGAGCGGAGCGAGGGUGCUUGCACCUUAGCUUAGCGGCGGACGGGUGAGUAAUGCUUAGGAAUCUGCCUAUUAGUGGGGGACAACAUUCCGAAAGGAAUGCUAAUACCGCAUACGCCCUACGGGGGAAAGCAGGGGAUCUUCGGACCUUGCGCUAAUAGAUGAGCCUAAGUCGGAUUAGCUAGUUGGUGGGGUAAAGGCCUACCAAGGCGACGAUCUGUAGCGGGUCUGAGAGGAUGAUCCGCCACACUGGGACUGGGACACGGGCCAGACUCCUACGGGAGGCAGCAGUGGGGAAUAUUGGACAAUGGGCGGAAGCCUGAUCCAGCCAUGCCGCGUGUGUGAAGAAGGCCUUUUGGUUGUAAAGCACUUUAAGCGAGGAGGAGGCUCUUAAGGUUAAUACCCUUGAUGAGUGGACGUUACUCGCAGAAUAAGCACCGGCUAACUCUGUGCCAGCAGCCGCAGUAAAAC
rnacentral:rRNA from 1 species